GACGAACGCUGGCGGCGUGCUUAACACAUGCAAGUCGAGCGGUAAGGCCCUUUCGGGGGUACACGAGCGGCGAACGGGUGAGUAACACGUGGGUGACCUGCCCUUAGCUCUGGGAUAAGCCUGGGAAACUGGGUCUAAUACCGGAUAUGACUCCAUGACGCAUGUUGUGGGGUGGAAAGCCUUGUGCGGCUAGGGAUGGGCCCGCGGCCUAUCAGCUUGUUGGUGGGGUGAUGGCCUACCAAGGCGACGACGGUAGCCGGCCUGAGAGGGCGACCGGCCACACUGGGACUGAGACACGGCCCAGACUCCUACGGGAGGCAGCAGUGGGAAUCUUGCGCAAUGGCGAAAGCCUGACGCAGCGACGCCGCGUGA
rnacentral:rRNA from 1 species